CUACGGAGGGUGCAAGCGUUAUCCGGAUUCAUUGGGUUUAAAGGGUGCGCAGGCGGAUAUUUAAGUCAGUGGUGAAAUCCCGGGGCUCAACCUCGGAACUGCCAUUGAUACUGAAUAUCUGGAAUACGGUUGAAGUGGGCGGAAUGUAGCAUGUAGCGGUGAAAUGCAUAGAGAUGCUACAGAACACCGAUCGCGAAGGCAGCUCACUAAGCCGAUAUUGACGCUCAGGCACGAAAGCGUGGGGAGCGAACAGGAUUAGAAACCCUAGUAGUCC
rnacentral:rRNA from 1 species